GCUUCUAUAGCUCAACGGUAGAGCUCAAUACUGUUAAUAUUGUGAUAGAUGUUCGAUUCAUCUUAGAGGCG